rnacentral:rRNA from 1 species
GACGAACGCUGGCGGCGUGCUUAACACAUGCAAGUCGAACGGAAAGGCCCUGCUUUUGUGGGGUGCUCGAGUGGCGAACGGGUGAGUAACACGUGAGUAACCUGCCCUUGACUUUGGGAUAACUUCAGGAAACUGGGGCUAAUACCGGAUAGGAGCUCCUGCUGCAUGGUGGGGGUUGGAAAGUUUCGGCGGUUGGGGAUGGACUCGCGGCUUAUCAGCUUGUUGGUGGGGUAGUGGCUUACCAAGGCUUUGACGGGUAGCCGGCCUGAGAGGGUGACCGGCGACAAUGGGACUGAGAUACGGCCCAGACUCCUACGGGAGGCAGCAGUGGGGAAUAUUGCACAAUGGGCGGAAGCCUGAUGCAGCAACGCCGCGUGCGGGAUGACGGCCUUCGGGUUGUAAACCGAUUUCGCCUGUGACGAAGCGUGAGUGACGGUAAUGGGUAAAGAAGCACCGGCUAACUACGUG